rnacentral:rRNA from 1 species
AUUGAACGCUGGCGGCAGGCCUAACACAUGCAAGUCGAACGGUAACAGGAAGCAGCUUGCUGCUUYGCUGACGAGUGGCGGACGGGUGAGUAAUGUCUGGGGAUCUGCCUGAUGGAGGGGGAUAACUACUGGAAACGGUAGCUAAUACCGCAUAACGUCGCAAGACCAAAGAGGGGGACCUUCGGGCCUCUUGCCAUCAGAUGAACCCAGAUGGGAUUAGCUAGUAGGUGGGGUAACGGCUCACCUAGGCGACGAUCCCUAGCUGGUCUGAGAGGAUGACCAGCCACACUGGAACUGAGACACGGUCCAGACUCCUACGGGAGGCAGCAGUGGGGAAUAUUGCACAAUGGGCGCAAGCCUGAUGCAGCCAUGCCGCGUGUAUGAAGAAGGCCUUCGGGUUGUAAAGUACUUUCAGCGAGGAGGAAGGCGGUAAGGUUAAUAACCUUAUCGAUUGACGUUACUCGCAGAAGAAGCACCGGCUAACUCC